rnacentral:rRNA from 1 species
UACGAAGGGUGCAAGCGUUAAUCGGAAUUACUGGGCGUAAAGCGCGCGUAGGUGGUUCAGCAAGUUGGAUGUGAAAGCCCUGGGCUCAACCUGGGAACUGCAUCCAAAACUACUGAGCUAGAGUACGGUAGAGGGUAGUGGAAUUCCUAGUGUAGAGGUGAAAUUCGUAGAUAUUAGGAAGAACACCGGUGGCGAAGGCGGCCCACUGGAUCGGUACUGACGCUGAGGUGCGAAAGCGUGGGGAGCAAACAGG